rnacentral:rRNA from 1 species
GGCAAGGACGUGGGAGGAGCCGGGGUAAGACGGUGGGGGGUGGGGUUGUCCGGGUGGAGUGGGCGUCAAGAGCUCGUAGGGGGGUUGGCGCGUGGUUCGUUAACAGGCGCAGCUGAAGUGGGGGCGGGCGGGCGAUACGGGCAGAGUAGAGUACGGCAGGGGAGACUGGAAGGCCUGGUGUAGCGGUGGAAUGCGCAGAUAUCAGGAGGAACACCGGUGGCGAAGGCGGGUCUCUGGGCAGUAACUGACGCUGAGGAGCGAAAGCGUGGGGAGCGAACAGGAUUAGAUACCCCGGUAGUC